rnacentral:rRNA from 1 species
GAAAGAUGGCUUUAGCUAUCACUCUGGGAUGGACCUGCGGUGCAUUAGCUAGUUGGUAAGGUAACGGCUUACCAAGGCGAUGAUGCAUAGCCGAGUUGAGAGACUGAUCGGCCACAAUGGAACUGAGACACGGUCCAUACUCCUACGGGAGGCAGCAGUAGGGAAUCUUCCACAAUGGGCGCAAGCCUGAUGGAGCAACACCGCGUGAGUGAAGAAGGGUUUCGGCUCGUAAAGCUCUGUUGUUGGAGAAGAACGUGCGUGAGAGUAACUGUUCGCGCAGUGACGGUAUCCAACCAGAAAGUCACGGCUAACUACGUGCCAGCAGCCGCGGUAAUACGUAGGUGGCAAGCGUUAUCCGGAUUUAUUGGGCGUAAAGCGAGCGCAGGCGGUUGCUUAGGUCUGAUGUGAAAGCCUUCGGCUUAACCGAAGAAGUGCAUCGGAAACCGGGCAACUUGAGUGCAGAAGAGGACAGUGGAACUCCAUGUGUAGCGGUGGAAUGCGUAGAUAUAUGGAAGAACACCGGUGGCGAAGGCGGCUGUCUGGUCUGCAACUGACGCUGAGGCUCGAAAGCAUGGGUAGCGAACAGGAUUAGAUACCCUGGUAGUCCAUGCCGUAAACGAUGAGUGCUAGGUGUUGGAGGGUUUCCGCCCUUCAGUGCCGG